rnacentral:rRNA from 1 species
UACGUAGGGUGCGAGCGUUGUCCGGAAUUAUUGGGCGUAAAGAGCUCGUAGGCGGUGUGUCACGUCGGCCGUGAAAACCUGCAGCUUAACUGUGGGCGUGCGGUCGAUACGGGCAUCACUGGAGUUCGGCAGGGGAGACUGGAAUUCCUGGUGUAGCGGUGAAAUGCGCAGAUAUCAGGAGGAACACCGGUGGCGAAGGCGGUUCUCUGGGCAUGUCCUGACGCUGAGGAGCGAAAGUGUGGGGGAGCGAACAGG